CGAACGGCUCAGUAACACGUAGUCAACCUGCCCUCGAGACGAGAACAAUCUCGGGAAACUGAGGCUAAUGCUCGAUAGAUCAAGAUUCCUGGAAUGGGUUUUGGUCUAAAUGGAGUAACAGCAUCUUGUUAUUUCCGCUCGAGGAUGGGACUGCGGCCGAUCAGGCUGUUGGUGGGGUAAAGGCCCACCAAACCAGUAACCGGUACGGGCAUUGAGAGAUGGAGCCCGGAGAUGGACACUGAGACAAGGGUCCAGGUCCUACGGGGCGCAGCAGGCGCGAAACCUUCGCAAUGCGCGAAAGCGCGACGAGGUUAUUCCGAGUGAUUCCCGCUGAGGGAAUCUUUUCUCAGAUCUAAAAAGUCUGGGGAAUAAGGGGAGGGCAAGUCUGGUGUCAGCCGCCGCGGUAAUACCAGCUCCUCGAGUGGUCAGGGCGUUUAUUGGGCCUAAAGCAUCCGUAGCCGGCUCAGUAGGUCUCCUGUUAAAUCCAACGGCUUAACCGUUGGUCUGCAGGAGAUACCGCUGGGCUAGGAGGCGGGAGAGGCGGACGGUACUCCGAGGGUAGGGGUAAAAUCCUUUGAUCCCCGGAAGACCACCAGUGGCGAAGGCGGUCCGCCAGAACGCGCUCGACGGUGAGGGAUGAAAGCUGGGGGAGCGAACC
rnacentral:rRNA from 1 species